rnacentral:rRNA from 1 species
GUUAGCAAGGGCCGGGCAAGACCGGUGCCAGCCGCCGCGGUAACACCGGCGGCCCGAGUGGUGAUCGUGAUUAUUGGGUCUAAAGGGUCCGUAGCCGGUUUGGUCAGUCCUCCGGGAAAUCUGAUAGCUYAACUAUUAGGCUUUCGGGGGAUACUGCCAGRCUUGGAACCGGGAGAGGUAAGAGGUACUACAGGGGUAGGAGUGAAAUCUUGUAAUCCCUGUGGGACCACCUGUGGCGAAGGCGUCUUACCAGAACGGGUUCGACGGUGAGGGACGAAAGCUGGGGGCACGAACCG